UAAACUGUCAAAAUUAGUUUAAUAAAAAUAUUUAGUCAGUAUAAUGUGACUCAACUAAACAACAACUAGUACAUGUUGUGUAUAUAAUAAUUGUACAAUAUGUACUUACCCAUUAUUUUUAAAAAUAAAUUAAUCCUUUAAUUAUGCACAAGUCCCCCUGAAUUAAAUAAACUGUCCUCCAGCUGCCUCCUUCGAACUCCCAGACAACACUGGAUGUAUUCCCAGCAACCGUAAGGCACAACCAAAGGGCUGGAUUGAAAUCAACCUGUUUUUUAAAGGGGUGGAGUUUAUGUAAACCUCUGGAUCCACUCUUGAGCCUUUCGAGCAGCUCCAUCGGUCUGUUGGUAGUGGGGAUCACACACCGUCUACAGAACUCCAACCGUCUAUUCAGUUUCACCCUUUACACCACGGUACAACCCUGUUUUUUAUUGUUGAGAUGGAGAUUUUAGGGUGACAACCCUUUUUUUAACUCUUUGUUGGUGUGAUUUUUAAGGAGUGGGGCUGAAGUUACCGGGGAAGGGUUGUGCCCCUUGGGUUUUUUAGAUUUCAGUGAUUUCAGUGAUGAUUUAAAGGGGUUGAGUACACCCCUUCUCUGCUGGACAUUGAUUUUAUACAGAGGGUUACACAUGCUAUCUUGUUAAUAUAAAUAAAUAUUUGAAAUUGCCUAGUAAACUGGUUUAAAUUUAAUGUAAAUUAUUUUUAACAGCCAAAUAUAGUAUAAUCAUAAAACCAUAUGUAAUAAUCACAAACUUUAAUGGAAUUGAUGGUUAUUAAUAAAAUUUUGGGUUUUAUAAAGAAAUAUUUAAACAUUAUAUAAAUUA